UGAAAUGUUUGCUAUUAGAAGAUAAUUCCAAUGUUAUAUGAACAACCUCUGCUGACAGGAUUCUCACAAGUUAGCUUUCCUUUGAAACAGAAACAGACUAAUGGAACAGAGUGAAGAACCUCAAAAUAGAUCUACACAUAUAGGGUUAAUUCUUCUCUACAAAUGGGUAUGAAGAAUCCACGAUGUGUAAAAGGUAGACUGUUCAAUAAAUGCUAUUGAGGAAACUGG